UACAGAGACUGCAAGCGUUAUUCGGAUUCACUGGGCGUAAAGGGUGCGCAGGCGGCCGGGUGUGUCAGAUGUGAAAUCCCGAGGCUUAACCUCGGAACUGCGUCUGAAACUACUCGGCUAGAGUACUAAAGAGGGUCGCGGAAUUCCCGGUGUAGAGGUGAAAUUCGUAGAUAUCGGGAGGAACACCGGUGGCGAAGGCGGCGACCUGGGUAGAUACUGACGCUGAGGCGCGAAAGCGUGGGGAGCAAACAGG
rnacentral:rRNA from 1 species